CGCUGCGCCACAUAUAUACCAGCCCCUCACCCUUGUCUCGGCAAAAAAAAAGAAAAAAAAAGACAGACCCCCACGACCUCCCAUCGCUCUCUCCGUCUCUCCCGAUGGCGGCCUCUCCCGAGUCCAGAUGCGACGGCCGUGGCGACGCUCUUCCUCCCGCGCCCCAUGCUCCCGCCGCUUCCCCUUCCUUCCUCUCUCUCUCCCCCGAUGUGGUGGCUUGGAGGCCGGGCCCCAACGGCACCGCCUGACUGCGGCGCGGAGGUGUCCUUGGGCGGUGGUGCCAUGCGACCUACCGGCGGCCAUCCCCGGCCACGGCAUGGCGUCAGCAGGGCUCUCCGAGCAGGGCCCUCCGGUGGCUGGCGGCAUAGGUGCUCUCCAACGGAUGCUCCUCGAAACCCUAGGUUUCUGUGCUCGCGGACACGGCCACCCGCUGCUACGCUCGGGUGCAGUAGUCCCGUCAGUGACUGCGAGAGCCCCAGCACGAGCAGGCCUCCGCCGCGGCCGUACCAGCGACGGUCGUGAUUCUCGCCUUGGAUUUUCGAACAUCGACGUCGGACGCGUACCCUACACUUAGGUGCAGAUCCAUGCUUUGAUUUACGUACUGACUAAUGCCUCCAUCAUUUUUCUCGUCGGUCUACAACACAAAGAUAUCUCUCAAUAGGUUACGUUCAACAUUCUGCAAAGACGAGAAACAAACUCUUCUGCCAAGCUGAACACCCACUACUGCUUGAAGCCAUUACACCAGGACCAUCGAAGGUGUACAUGGACGAUGUUGUAGGCCAAACACAAGCAUUGCAGCAGGAAAUUUUAGGUCUAAUUACAGACCAGACGGCGCAGACCUCAAAUCAGGGGCUCACGACGGACACGUCAUUCAAAAUGUUUUCAGCCGUUGGAUCACAGCUUGGACGUUCGGAUCUAGUCUGAGCUACUAUGCGCAAUGUCACAUAUAUACCAGCCCCUCUCCCUUGUCUCAGCAAAAAAAAGAAAAAAAGGCAGACCCACAGCCACCCUCGCUCUCUCCGUCUCUCACAAUGCCGGCCCUCCCGCCGCCCGUUCCUUCCUCUCCCUCUCCCCUGAUGUGGUGGUCUGGAGGCUAGGCCCCAACGGCACCGCCUGACCGCGGGGCGUCCGUGCGGCGUGACGGUGUCCUCGGGCUGCGGCGGAGCGCCUCCCGUGUGACCUGCCGGUGGCCGUCCCCAAAACUUUUAAAUUUUAUUCUUCCUUGUUCCUUCCCUUCUUCAGCCUAUGAUGAUAAAUUUAUGCACGUUGCUAGACGAUAUGAUCUGAUAUCUGUUUGCUUGUGAGGUAAGCAUGUGCUAAGCAUGUCUUGAGGCUCCAAGUCGAUGAACAGAUGAUGAAUGAUAUAUUUCUGAGGCUUAAAAAAUUCUAUCUUCAAUGAAAACCUUUGACUUAUUCUUUCUUUCCUGGUUCAGCCUAUGAUGCAAAAUUUAUACCCAUUGCCAACGACACGAUCUGAUAUCUAUUCGCUUGCGAGGGACUAGGCAUGUACUAAGCAUGUCUUGAGGCUCCAAGUUGAUAAAUAGAUGAUGAAUGGUCAUUUCAAAAAGAGAACGUCGUAGCAGCGGCCGUUUACCAGCUACUGCGAUGGUUAGCUUGAUGACGUCACCAUGAUCACAUGAUAACAUCAUACGGUGAGCGAUACGUUGGUGAGCAAGAUCAAGUCUUUGAAGACCAGC